rnacentral:rRNA from 1 species
ACCCUGACCGAGCAACGCCGCGUGAGUGGAGAAGGUUUUCGGAUCGUAAAGCUCUGUUGUAAGAGAAGAACGGGUGUGAGAGUGGAAAGUUCACACUGUGACGGUAUCUUACCAGAAAGGGACGGCUAACUACGUGCCAGCAGCCGCGGUAAUACGUAGGUCCCGAGCGUUGUCCGGAUUUAUUGGGCGUAAAGCGAGCGCAGGCGGUUAGAUAAGUCUGAAGUUAAAGGCUGUGGCUUAACCAUAGUAUGCUUUGGAAACUGUUUAACUUGAGUGCAGAAGGGGAGAGUGGAAUUCCAUGUGUAGCGGUGAAAUGCGUAGAUAUAUGGAGGAACACCGGUGGCGAAAGCGGCUCUCUGGUCUGUAACUGACGCUGAGGCUCGAAAGCGUGGGGAGCAAACAGGAUUAGAUACCCUGGUAGUCCACGCCGUAACGAUGAGUGCUAGGUGUUAGCCCUUCCGGGGCUAGUGCGCAGCUACGCAUAAGCACUCGCCUGGGAGUACGACGCAGGUUGAACUCA